GACGAACGCUGGCGGCGUGCUUAACACAUGCAAGUCGAACGGUAAGGCCCUUCGGGGUACACGAGUGGCGAACGGGCGAGUAACACGUGGGUGAUCUGCCCUGCCCUUCGGGAGAAGCCGGGGGAACUGGGUCUAAUACCGGAUAGGACUCCCGCCGGCAUGGGCUGGGGUGGACGGCUUUUGCGGUGUGGGAUGGGCCCGCGGCCUAUAAGCUUGUUGGUGGGGGGAUGGCCUACCAAGGCGACGACGGGUAGCCGGGCUGAGCGGGUGACCGGCCACACUGGGACUGAGAUACGGCCUAGACUCCUACGGGAGGCAGCAGUGGGGAAUAUUGCACAAUGGGCGCAAACCUGAUGCUGCGACGCCGCGUGAGGGAUGACGGCCUUCGGGUUGUAAACCUCUUUCAGCAUCGACGAAGCGAAAGUGACGGUAGGUGCAGAAGAAGGACCGGCCAACUACGUGCCAGCCGCCGCAGUAA
rnacentral:rRNA from 1 species